UUUUAUCACUCACCCCAGAUGCAUUGAGGAUGUUGACUCGUUUCUAAUCACAUGGAAUGAUAGUUCAUCAAUGGUUAAUCCUGACGUGUCAAAUAAUUAUGAAACAGUAAAGUUCUGUCUGCUUCGUCAUUAUUAACACUAAACAUACCGACACUUUGUAUAUACCUAUUCAUACCGCGAGCAGUCAAAUGACGGCAAACACUGUUUUCGCUAAAACUCCCCAGCCAACAUGAAAUCGUAAAAGAAAUCAUCGUCAAACUCUUAUAUGGGUGCAACUCAAAUCGGAUUCGUAAAUGUGUACACUUAACAUUCGACCAUAUCGUAUAUUCAUCGUAGAAGGUGUUAAAAUCAAACGAAAUACGAUUUAGUUACGAUACGUUGAAUGAAGUCGUAUUUAGUACGGCCGAUGCGAAAUGAAAUCCAAUAAUAAUCGCAUAAGAUUUCUUAAGACGUAUUUUAUUUGUACAUGAAAUACUUUUGUAUCUAAAUCGUAAACGACUUCAGAUAGAUUCGUAAGGAAUACCCCGUAAACAUCGUUUAUCGUAUCAAUUUAUAUAUUUUAUAGAAUGUCACAUUAAGAGGCAAAUCAACGUCAUCAUCGUAUAACCGGUCACAUAGCCCACGAGAUAAAUAUAUGUAAUGCGAUCAAAUCAGAUUCGUAAUAGAGUAUACUUAUCAAUAAAGCAUCGUAUUAAGCGGUCAUAAAAUGGCAGAUGUUUAAAAUACGUUGCAUCGUGAUGCUGACUGCAGUUCCCGCCGGAUGUAUAUGUGAAUUAUUGUGAUAAGUGAAUAUCGGAUGAAGUAAUUGAAGAAUAACAUCACUUUGAAGGUAAGCUAAGUCAUUUUAGUUAUGAUUUAUAUAUUAACGAUCUUUAAUUUUUUUAAAGAUAUUUUUUACUACAAAGAUUUAUGAAUAUCACAAUCGCUCAAAAACAUUUAUUUUUAUUGAACAGAGCUAUGAUGGCGAAUGGUGCGUUGUCAAAAAAUUGAUUUCUCUUUUCGUUCUUUUCUCAUUUUUUUGUUUACAUCGGCAUUUCGUGUUUACUUUCGCGUCACAGUUGCUGCGUAAAUAUAGACCAGGAAUCGCCAAAGUUGUUGCGAAAACUGUUAAAAAUGUUUUUGCUGCGUUAGCGAAAUUGUGUGGAUCCGCCGUAAAAAAAUAAGUUCUCGUUAUAUGUUGAGGUAACCGCUACAAUUCACGUUGGUGCAUGACAAACCGGCUGCUGCGCCGCAAGGAUGUGCUUUGCUGAACCAAGUAGGAAAAUCCGUGCCUAAUUAGCCACCAUGCCCAAAACUACCCCCGCUAUUAUCUCGUUCGCUUUCCGUACUACUUCCGUUUGUUUAAAUUGACCGGCUCUGUGCUGAUCUACGACAACAUAGACAAAGCCAAGAAGCUCGAACCCCAGCACCAAUAGGAACCGCACAGAUUGUACGAAAAGAAUGUUAGCCGAUGCAGGACGCAGCGCAAGAUCCGUGUUCAGUUCCCCUGCUACUAUCUUCGUAUGGCGCUUCACGAAUUGAAGCAUAUGAACGUGAGCAAUCUGAUCGAGGUUUUCUUGUCCCACACGGAUAGGAAAGCUAUAACGAUAUGUCACCAAGAAACCGGUCAUGAUGAAAAGCCUAUCUUCACAGGAAACCGCUACAAUUCGUACCAAGGCGGUUCGGAAACCGGCUGCCGUGCCGUUAUCAAAUGAGAAACACUACACGAUCUUUAAGAUGGUGUUGCAAACAGGAAGCUCCUUUUUUACAAAACCGAGUCACAAUCGGAUAUUUUACAACAUCAUCCGACAUACACGUUUCAUCCGACAGUAAAAUGAGUAUCAUCCGACACAAUGACAUAUUUUACGGAUGAAACACCAUCAAUUUCUGAUGCUGACCUUGAGAAACUCUAUCCAUUCUCAUUUUAAAACUGGACGAUUGAACUGGAGAAAACUAAACUGGAAAAACUCAACAGAUAGCAGAAUGGAAAUUUAAGGAUGAGCAAAUACUUUAUGUUUCAUUACACUGCAUUACUACACCCACUCUCGCCGAAAAAAUGAUGACAAUAAACCACUGGUUGUCGAAAUGCUCCGUUGAUGAUUACCUAGCUAUCGAGAAGGUCGCGGAGCGCGUAACUGUUUCAUCAAAGGAACACAAUAAUAUCAACAAUAAGGAUAACUAUAUCCGAAAAUAGAGACGGCUAAGGUUGACGGAGCAACCGGGAAAGCAGCGAGCGGAACGAGGUCUAGUUCCGGUUCCGGUAGCGAUAUAUUUGAAGCGUGAAUAAUUUGAGUGAUAUAAUUUCGAAUUGUUAUUGUAUAAGUUCGAUAAUUGUUAUAAUUGUGUAGUGCAUCAAAAUGUUUGUUAGAA